GGAUGUGAGGGCUAUCUGAUUGCGACAUCUGUCACCCCACUGAUCGCCAGGGUUGAUUCGGCUCAUCUCGCUGGCUAGGCGGGUGUCCCCUUCCUCCCUCACCACUCCAUGAGCGUCCCUCCCGAAGCUGCGCCCUCUGUCGAAGAGGACGACCAUCCCCGAUAGAGGAGGACUGGUCUUUGGUCAAGGGUAUACAAGUAGCUGCACUCCCCUGCUAGAACCUCCAAACAAGCUCUCAAGGUAGUUCUAUUUUUAAUUUUUUUGAGUCAUUGCCUUACUGUUUGCCCUAGUGGCUGUACCCAUUUACAUUCUCACCAACAGUACAUCAGU
ensembl:misc_RNA 7SK 7SK RNA